UGCCUUAUUUAAAAUUUAUUUCAACACUCACUUUUCAUUUAAUUGCAUUAUUAAAUAAGACAAGAAUUUUUUCUUCCUUUUUACAGCCUUACCCACCUUUUAUGCCUCGAAGACUCACAGGGCACAGUAGAUACCUAUCACAGCAACCAAUACCACCACAUGCGUACCAUCCCAGCCUAUUACCAUAUGUGUUAUCAGUGCUUCCAGUGCCACCUGCAGUUGGACCAGCUUUCAGUUUUGAGUUGGAUGUGGAAGAUGGAGAGGUAGAAAACUACGAGGCACUGUUGAAUUUGGCAGAACGCCUAGGAGAAGCCAAACCUCGAGGACUGACAAAGACAGACAUUGAACAACUUCCAUCUUACAGGUUCAAUCCAAGCAAUCAUCAAUCAGAGCAGACAUUGUGUGUAGUGUGUAUGUGUGACUUUGAAGCAAGGCAGCUACUUAGAGUCUUACCCUGUAACCACGAGUUUCAUGCCAAGUGUGUUGAUAAAUGGCUUAAGGCAAAUCGUACCUGCCCAAUUUGCAGAGCUGAUGCUUCAGAAGUACAUCGUGAUUCAGAAUGACUAAUCUGAGAGCAAAAAUCUGGUUUGGGUGUUCCUGGUCACAUGUUAGACUUCAGUUUUGAAGAUACUGCACUUUGUGCCCCUCCUCCAAAAGAAAGCUGAAAAGGUGCUGAGGGUCUUCUGCAAAGUUUCUUCACUUUGACCAUUAUACUUGCUAAGU